CGUGUAGGCGGUUCGGCAAGUCGAGUGUGAAAUCCCACGGCUCAACCGUGGAACUGCGCUCGAAACUGCCUUACUUGAGUGCGGGAGAGGUGUGCGGAAUUCCUGGUGUAGCGGUGGAAUGCGUAGAUAUCAGGAAGAACACCGGUGGCGAAGGCGGCACACUGGCCCAGCACUGACGCUGAGGCGCGAAAGCGCGGGGAGCGAACG
rnacentral:rRNA from 1 species